GANCNGGANGGNAGGUGGACUUUGGGGUGUAAACCUCUUUUAGCAGGGAGAAGCGAGAGNUCCGUUCCUGCAGAAAAAGCGCGGGCUAAUUUCGUGCCAGCAGCCGCGGUAAUACGUAGGGCGCAAACGUUAUCCGGAAUUAUUGGGCGUAAAGAGCUCGUAGGCGUUUGUCGCGUCUGCUGUGAAAACUGGAGGCUCAACCUCCAGCCUGCAGUGGGUACGGGCAGACUAGAGUGCGGUAGGGGAGAUUGGAAUUCCUGGUGUAGCGGUGGAAUGCGCAGAUAUCAGGAGGAACACCGAUGGCGAAGGCAGAUCUCUGGGCCGUAACUGACGCUGAGGAGCGAAAGGGUGGGGAGCAAACAGGCUUAGAUACCCUGGUAGUCCACCCCGUAAACGUUGGGAACUAGUUGUGGGGGCCUUUCCACGGUCUCCGUGACGCAGCUAACGCAUUAAGUUCCCCGCCUGGGGAGUACGGCCGCAAGGCUAAAACUCAAAGGAAUUGACGGGGACCCGCACAAGCGGCGGAGCAUGCGGAUUAAUUCGAUGCAACGCGAAGAACCUUACCAAGGCUUGACAUAUACGAGAACGGGCUAGAAAUAGUCAACUCUUUGGACACUCGUAUACAGGUGGUGCAUGGUUGUCGUCAGCUCGUGUCGUGAGAUGUUGGGUUAAGUCCCGCAACGAGCGCAACCCUCGUUCUCUGUUGCCAGCACGUAAUGGUGGGAACUCAGGGGAUACUGCCGGGGUCAACUCGGAGGAAGGUGGGGAUGACGUCAAAUCAUCAUGCCCCUUAUGUCUUGGGCUUCACGCAUGCUACAAUGGCCGGUACAAAGGGCUGCAAUACCGUGAGGUGGAGCGAAUCCCAAAAAGCCGGUCCCAGUUCGGAUUGAGGUCUGCAACUCGACCUCAUGAAGUCGGAGUCGCUAGUAAUCGCAGAUCAGCAACGCUGCGGUGAAUACGUUCCCGGGUCUUGUACACACCGCCCGUCAAGUCAUGAAAGUCGGUAACACCUGAAGCCGGUGGCCUAACCCUUGUGGAGGGAGCCGUCGAAGGNUGNAUCG
rnacentral:rRNA from 1 species